AUUGAACGCUGGCGGCAGGCUUAACACAUGCAAGUCGAGCGGGCGAGGUUGCUUCGGUGACUGAGCUAGCGGCGGACGGGUGAGUAAUGCUUAGGAAUCUGCCUAUUAGUGGGGGACAACAUUCCGAAAGGAAUGCUAAUACCGCAUACGCCCUACGGGGGAAAGCAGGGGAUCUUCGGACCUUGCGCUAAUAGAUGAGCCUAAGUCAGAUUAGCUAGUUGGGGGGGUAAAGGCCUACCAAGGCGACGAUCUGUAGCGGGUCUGAGAGGAUGAUCCGCCACACUGGGACUGAGACACGGCCCAGACUCCUACGGGAGGCAGCAGUGGGGAAUAUUGGACAAUGGGCGAAAGCCUGAUCCAGCCAUGCCGCGUGUGUGAAGAAGGCCUUUUGGUUGUAAAGCACUUUAAGCGAGGAAGAGGCUACUUGGAUUAAUACUCUAGGAUAGUGGACGUUACUCGCAGAAUAAGCACCGGCUAACUCUGUGCCAGCAGCCGCCGUAA
rnacentral:rRNA from 1 species